CAUUCGGUCUACUCCAGAUCUGUCUUUUGCAGCUACUUAUCGAGAGGCCUCCAUACGCCUGGAAGUGAACGGAGAGGUUGGCCUAGCUGCAUGUGAUGCUGUGGGACAGGUAACAAGACUUCCUUCCACCCAGGUUGACCUCCAACAGUUGAAGAAAGAACUAAGAGAGGAAAUGGCUGCUGAGAUCAAGGACCAGAUGGUGACACUUUCAAAAGAUGUUGUCUCGGGUGCAGUGCAACUAUCGAUGGAGACGGCUGGCGUGAUGGAAGUCCACCUUGAACCAGAAGUUUCCCUCCCUAGUUCUGACCCAAGCAACAUCCCAGUAGAGCUGGAGAAUUCCGGACUGUCCCCCAAAGAGACCCAAGAGGUCCCUUACUGAUUGGCCAACCCAGCACUACUGCUCUGCGGGACGAUGACCGCUCCAGCGGGGGCAGCAUACAGUCCAUCCCAGGGGACGACGAACUAUCCAUCUGUCUGGUUCCAGUUUCCUCCACAGAUGGUCAAUCCAACACUGCUCCAUUGCCAGACAAUGACUGUUCUGGUAUGACGAUUCGGCAACACACCCCAGCGUGCGAUGAUCAGCCAACCUCGACUGUCUAUGAUCAGUCUGGUCCACAGCCUGCUGUAAGAACAUUUGCGCUCCAACAAGAACCUGAACAGGACGAUGGUCAGCCUCUCAGCCAGCAACCGUCAGGUGCUGGAACUACCCCAACCCCAUCACAAUGUGUGAGACGAUCCAUUCGCUCUAACUUGGGGGCGCCACCCACUCGUCUCAUUGAAGAAGCGUAACGGACAAGCUGCCAUGAGGACAUGGCUAUUGCAAAGUGGGGAGGGAUGUAACGGCGU